GUUAGGGUUAGGAUUCAUGUGUCAUAACAGUGUCAUGUCACUCUUAUAUCGAUACUGUCAAGUAAAGUGUUACCUACUAACCUACUACUCAAUACUCAGCGUUAACCUUGCUGGGGUGUCAGAAAGAGUCAAAGCAUUUUACAGAUUUCAAAUGUCCAAAAGGCAAAGUGGAGGAGAUCAAUAAAAAGCACAUUAGGUGCUUCCUGGGGAAGGCCUGCCCAUACUUCAGCCAUUCUGUGCCCAGGAGUGCCGCUGGCCCCUAAGCGCUGGGCUGGUAGCCAUUAGGGCUCUAAACACAGACAAAAAUAACCAAACCAGGGACAACAAGCAGCAUGAAACACACAGGCUGAUCUGCGUGGAGUG